UACGUAGGGGGCAAGCGUUGUCCGGAUUUACUGGGUGUAAAGGGAGCGUAGACGGAGUUUUAAGUCUGAAGUGAAAUGCCGGGGCUCAACCCCGGAGCUGCUUUGGAAACUGGAGCUCUAGAGUACAGGAGAGGUAAGUGGAAUUCCUAGUGUAGCGGUGAAACGCGUAGAUAUUAGGAGGAACACCAGAGGCGAAGGCGGCUUACUGGACUGUAACUGACGUUGAGGCUCGAAGGCGUGGGGAGCAAAC
rnacentral:rRNA from 1 species